rnacentral:rRNA from 1 species
AUUGAACGCUGGCGGCAGGCCUAACACAUGCCAGUCGAACGGUAACAGGAAGAAGCUUGCUUCUUUGCUGACGAGUGGCGGACGGGUGAGUAAUGUCUGGGAAACUGCCUGAUGGAGGGGGAUAACUACUGGAAACGGUAGCUAAUACCGCAUAACGUCGCAAGACCAAAGAGGGGGACCUUCGGGCCUCUUGCCAUCGGAUGUGCCCAGAUGGGAUUAGCUAGUAGGUGGGGUAACGGCUCACCUAGGCGACGAUCCCUAGCUGGUCUGAGAGGAUGACCAGCCACACUGGAACUGAGACACGGUCUAGACUCCUACGGGAGGCAGCAGUGGGGAAUAUUGCACAAUGGGCGCAAGCCUGAUGCAGCCAUGCCGCGUGUAUGAAGAAGGCCUUCGGGUUGUAAAGUACUUUCAGCGGGGAGGAAGGGAGUAAAGUUAAUACCUUUACUCAUUGACGUUACCCGCAGAAGAAGCACCGGCUAACUCCGUG